rnacentral:rRNA from 1 species
GACGAACGCUGGCGGCGCGCUUAACACAUGCAAGUCGAGCGAUGAAAUCUUGACAGAACCCUUCGGGGUGAAGAUAAGAUGGAUUAGCGGCGGACGGGUGAGUAACACGUGAGUAACCUGCCUUAGACAUUGGGAUAGCCUCGGGAAACCGGGAUUAAUACCAAAUGAAAUCACAUAUGCACAUGCAUAAAUGAUCAAAGCUCCGGCGGUCUAAGAUGGACUCGCGUCCCAUUAGCUAGUUGGUGAGGUAACGGCCCACCAAGGCGACGAUGGGUAGCCGGCUUGAGAGAGUGUACGGCCACAUUGGGACUGAGACACGGCCCAAACUCCUACGGGAGGCAGCAGUGGGGAAUUUUGCACAAUGGGGGAAACCCUGAUGCAGCGACGCCGCGUGAUUUAGAAGGCCUUCGGGUUGUAAAAAUCUUUUUUAUGGGAUGAAAAUGACAGUACCAUAAGAAUAAGGUCCGGCUAAAUACGUGCCAGCAGCCGCGGUAAUACGUAUGGACCGAGCGUUGUCCGGAAUCAUUGGGCGUAAAGGGUACGUAGGCGGCCCAGUAAGUUAGAAGUGAAAUAAUAUAGCUCAACUAUAUAAAGCUUUUAAAACUGCUAGGCUUGAGAGAUGGAAGGGAAAGUGGAAUUCCUAGUGUAGCGGUGAAAUGCGCAGAUAUUAGGAAGAAUACCGGUGGCGAAGGCGACUUUCUGGUCAUCAUCUGACGCUGAGGUACGAAAGCGUGGGUAGCAAACAGGAUUAGAUACCCUGGUAGUCCACGCUGUAAACGAUGAGUGUUAGGUUCUUGGAAUAAUCUGGGAGCCGCAGCUAACGCAUUAAACACUCCGCCUGGGGAGUACGCACGCAAGUGUG